UCCUCCUGCUCCUCCAUCUUCCCUAGUUUCCCUUCCUCUUUCUCUCUCCUCAAACAACUCUUCUCCGCCUCUCUCUCUCUCCCUCUCCCUCUCCCUCUCCUCCACCCCCAUACAACAAAUAUCAACAAACCCAUUAACCAAAACACCCAUUUCACUAAAACCCCAUAAACCAUUCGUCCCUAAACUAUCCACCACCAAAAUCAACUCUUCCUAAUCUUCAUUAGACUCUGCAAACUCAGAUUUCAAAGAAGAAAACCCAAGAACAACAUUAUCAACAACAAAAGGAAUCGACAAAUCCAAGUUCUAAAACUCCAACAACUCAGAUCCGUAGCCGAAAAUAGCCGAAAUAUCUAAUUCAAUAUUUUCUUCACCACAAAUGCAAAUAAAAUGUAUUUAUUUAUAUUAAAAACUACCACAACUCUUCUCCUCCAUCUUUAGUCAAAUUCCAGAUCCCAGGGAUAUGGGCUGGGUUUUCUUUUUCUGCAACUUUGUGGAGGCGGCGAUGGAGAGGGAAGGAAAAUCAGCAAACGCCGUCGCCGUGGAGUGGUUGUUUGCGUCGGCAAUUUUUCGGAACUGUGUUACUGAACUUGGAGAUGAUGAACUCUGUGUUACUGAAUAUGGGUUUGUUGAUGACAUUUAGGAUUUUUAAGAAAAAGAGAGAGAGAGAU
rnacentral:lncRNA from 1 species